AGCGAACGCUGGCGGCAGGCUUAACACAUGCAAGUCGAGCGGGCAUCUUCGGAUGUCAGCGGCAGACGGGUGAGUAACACGUGGUAACGUACCCUUCGGUUCGGAACAACUCUGGGAAACUGGAGCUAAUACCGGAUACGCCCUUAUGGGGAAAGGUUUACUGCCGAAGGAUCGGCCCGGGUCUGAUUAGCUAGUUGGUGGGGUAACGGCCUGCCAAGGCGACGAUCAGUAGCUGGUCUGAGAGGAUGAUCAGCCACACUGGGACUGAGACACGGCCCAGACUCCUACGGGAAGCAGCAGUGGGGAAUAUUGGACAAUGGGCGCAAGCCUGAUCCAGCCAUGCCGCGUGAGUGAUGAAGGCCUUAGGGUUGUAAAGCUCUUUUGUCCGGGACGAUAAUGACGGUACCGGAAGAAUAAGCCCCGGCUAACUUCGUG
rnacentral:rRNA from 1 species